CUGGUACCUGAGGCUUCCUGAAAAGAGGUAUGGUUAAAGAACAAAGUUGCAGAUCUGUUAUAAAGGAUAAGAGAAAAAUACUGCUCCUGACCUUUUGGUGAAGAGGCCUGAUGUUUUUUUCUUCCUUUCAAAUUGGUGAAGUUAAUAAAGGAGUACCAAAUAGAUGGCACAGUUCUUUGUAACCUUUGCAAAUCCAAGCAUUGGUGCAAACCUUGAACAGCUCGGGGUGGUGCUGUUACUGAGACCAAUGGUCUGAUUGAUCUCAAUCCUCCAGACUCCUGUUUUGGGAAGACUGAGAUAAAAGAAACUGCGGUUUCAUAUUCCUACUCUUUCAGUGGCCAAUCAAGUUGAAGAAACUUCAAAAUCUUCCCUAUCAUCACUUCUGAGAUAUGACCCUUGAUUGACCUUGUUCAACAGUUUGUGUCUACCCAAAUUGUCAGUCGAUUUUAAUGUAAAACAAACAAGCAAAGAGAAUAGGAACUCUUACAUGGCUCUAUCACCUUUUCUAUUUAUUAUUGGUUCACUGCCUUCUCCCCAGAAUCAUUCUCACAGACAUGCUAAAUCUGCUACUGGUAUUAGGAAGGUGUGGGAAAGGGUAAGAAAACUUACUCUGCUUACUAUUAAGAAAGAUCAACUGAAUGUCAUUAAACUGACUGAAAUGAUAUUUAUAGAAAUAUCUUUGGAUAACAGCAGGGAAGGACUUCUGCAUAUAAGGAGGAAAAGUCUGUUCUUUAUAGUGUGUAUAAAAUGAACGUGUUAGAGGAACUGUAACACUCUAGAGGUAUUUGUGGUCAGCCUUAUCUGCUCUUUUUUUCAAGGAUCCUGAAUUACUACUCUCUGGCCUGAACAGUUUUCAAGUUAAAGAGUCAUCCAGAAUCUCAACAUAUGUGGUUUGAAGAAAAGCAUGUAUUUCACAUCUCAAAGCACAAAAAAGAGGAAGAAAAGAGGUUAAAGGCAGUAUAAAAAUGCUACCUCCGCAGAUACCUUCCAGCUGAAGGGAUGUAAAGAAAAACUGUCUCGUGGAAAUGUUAAUGGCAAGAUUAAAUUAGGUUGAUGGGAACAACCCCUCAAGGAAACAUAGGCUUGAACUAGACUGAUUUUUCAUGUAGUAUUUUUUGUUGCUUUGGCUUUAGAACUCUAUGUAACAUUGUUACAUUGUAGGUUAAAAUAAGAAGGGUUUGAGAUGAGACAGGACCAGAAAUGUAUCCCAGCAUGUCAAAGAGAUUCACAGACACCUAUGGCCAGGGACUUCUUUUUCAACUGCCAAAUGCAAUGCAGCUUUCAGAAUGCCUCGCAAGAGGCAGAAAUGUCUUCCCAUGCUUGCUUAAGGCCACCAAAGGUAGGUGUGUUGUUUGCUGAAAAUGGGCAGGAGGACAUCCUGAUAUGUCUUAAUUUAUUAAGACCUGGGGUUUGCCACACUUCUGGACCUGCAAAGCAUGCAAGUGAUGCUCUUUGUAUGUCAGCACUUCAUAGCAGAGCAAUACACUGAAGUAAUAUACCCACACUUACAGAUAAAGCUGAAGGAAAAUCUCAAUACUAUGACUGCACUGAGAACAAGGUGAGAACCCUGAGACAAAUAAUGUGUGUUCCAGAGUAUCUUGGACACUCUAGCUGCUCUGUACCUAGUUAAGAUGAGAAUGGAAACAAAGUUCAGGUUCUUGGUUAGACAUAGACAAUCGUGUGUGUUUGUUGAUUUGGGGAUAUUUGCUUUUUUUCCUCGGGCAAAUGGAAUUUCAAUAAACUGUAGCAAAAAGUUUUAGGACAGAUCGUAUACAUACAUAUAUCUUUUCCUCUAGAGAUAUCUAUGCAUACUAUGCAACUCCUAAGGGUUUCUUCUUACUGUGGCUAAACUUUCUAGUAACUUUCUAGUAAAGUUAUGCUUUUCACUUAUUGGGCCUUUCCUUCCAAGUAGUAUUAGCAACUACUUCACUUAACUCUUUGCAUUGAUCUGAUUUACCUCUCAUUUCCCUCGUUAGAAUAACCCUCAUGUAAAGGAGUGCAAAAGCAGAGAAGAGAAGUUGCUGAAAAUCCCAGCUAGGUGGCAGAUCCAGACAACAAUAUUCCCUACUGGUAUGAGCCCACAACAGGAGAAAUAGCUUUUUAGUAUUUGUUUACCUGGUAGAUCGUUCAAAAGAACCAUGCCAACCUUUUCUCGUUCUGUGUUCUGAAAGUUGACGCAGGUAGAAGCUUUGAUUAUGUAUUCAAGGCUGGUGAAAUGAAAAUUAAAUUCUUUGGUUUUCUGAGUCUGUUACUGGUGGAAAUAGGACUAUAAAUUGGUGUCACUGAUAAUACUACAGUAACAAGCAGGAACAUUAAGAAAGAAUUGGAAGUAUUUUUGGCAUGCUUUUGAUUUUAAUUUAACAUUUAGAAAAAAAAAACAGAUUUUUAAUUUAAAUGAGUGUUCUGUAUUAAAAACAAGAAAAAUCACCGUUGCAUGUAAGUGAGCUACUGAUUUGCCGUUCACCAGUAUGUGAUCCGCAGCAGCAAUCAAACACUUCAGGAUAACUUUCAUUGUGCAAUAACUGCAUCACCAGUAAAAGCACAGAGAGGAAUAUGCAGAAAACAACCCCUCUGUAAAUUUGUGGAACAAAGAAGUGCUUCCACUGUUCAAAAAUGACAUUUUUAUUUGUGUGUGAUUUUUAAAUCUGAAUAAAGUAGAUAUUAGGAUGGAUAGUAUAGACAUGUGGACGCAGAUGAGAGCAGGCCUGAUGUGGACCUAGAGGCAGGUGCAGCAGCUCUGUGUUACAGUCAGAAAGAUUAACGUGGUGAAAGGACAAUACAGGUGUGCAGUAACAAAGAGACUAGCAUAAAUGGAAUGGUGCUAUAAAGAAAAAGUAUUCAGCUACCUCCAAGGAUCUAGUCUUAUAGGAAAGACUCCACA